rnacentral:tRNA from 4 species
GGGGGUCUAACUCAAAUGGUAGAGUGUUCGCUUUGCAUGCGAAAAGUACUGGGAUCGAUACCCAGGUCCUCCA